rnacentral:rRNA from 1 species
UACAGAGACCCCGAGCGUUAUCCGGAUUUAUUGGGCGUAAAGAGUCUGUAGGCGUCCUGUUAAGUCCCUGGUUAAAGCCCACUGCUCAACAGUGGUAAAGCCGGGGAAACUAGCAGGAUGGAGGUUGGGAGAGGUAAGCGGAAUUGCCGGUGUAGUAGUAAAAUGCGUUAAUAUCGGCAAGAACACCAAAGGCGAAGGCAGCUUACUAGAACAUACCUGACGCUGAGAGACGAAAGCGUGGGGAGCGAAU